UCUUCGACAACAAAAGUUACAAGAUAUGUUUUGUGUAGAGUGUGGUCACAAGUUUGACCACAACAAUCCCAAAUUUUGUGGGAAUUGUGGGAUAAGAAUAGGUAGCAAGGACACUGGAGAUGUUGAAAAAGAACCAUCCAUUGGUUGUGAGGUGCUCC